rnacentral:rRNA from 1 species
AGAGGAAGUAAAAGUCGUAACAAGGUUUCCGUAGGUGAACCUGCGGAAGGAUCAUUAGCGAAGCUCGGAAUGCGUGUUCGGUACUGAUGCUGCCCGGCAACGGGAUGUGCUCGUUCGGAUGCGUGUCCCUUCCCUAUCCCACCCCAUUGUGAACCAAGUGUGUGAGCCGAAGAGAGAUCGGAAGCUUGCAUGCAAACCCUUAACAUACCCCAAUGAAGUAUCAGAAUGUACCUUGCGUUAACUCGCACAAAUACAACUUUCAACAACGGAUCUCUUGGCUCUCGCAUCGAUGAAGAACGCAGCGAAAUGCGAUAAGUAAUGUGAAUUGCAGAAUUCAGUGAAUCAUCGAAUCUUUGAACGCACCUUGCGCCCCUUGGCAUUCCGAGGGGCACGCCUGUUUGAGUGUCGUGAACUCCUCCACCCUCUACCUUUUUCGAAGGGCAUUGGGCUGGGAUUUGGGAGCUUGCGGGUCCCUGGCCGAUCCGCUCUCCUUGAAUACAUUAGCGAAGNCCUUUGCGGCCUUGGUGUGAUAGUCAUCUACGCCUUGGCUUAGCGAAUCAAUGGGGAAUUGCUUCCAACCGUCUCGCAAGGGACAACGACUACAACUUGACCUCAAAUCAGGCGGGACUACCCGCUGAACUUAAGCAUAUCAAUAAGCGGAGGA